rnacentral:tRNA from 1 species
GGUAAGGUGGCCGAGUGGUAGGCAGUGGGUUGUAGCCCCAUAAACAGAGGUUAAAUUCCUCUUCUUUCCA